GAGGGUUUAGCUCAAGGAUAGAGCACAUGCUUAGCAUACACAAGGUCCUGGGUUCAAUCCCCAGUACCUCCU
rnacentral:tRNA from 1 species